rnacentral:rRNA from 1 species
AUUGAACGCUGGCGGCACGCUUAACACAUGCAAGUCGAACGGCAGCGGGGGGAGCUUGCUCCCUGCCGGCGAGUGGCGAACGGGUGAGUAACGCGUAGGGAUCUGCCUGUUAGAGGGGGAUAAGCCGUGGAAACGCGGUCUAAUACCGCAUACGCUCUAAGGAGGAAAGUAUGGGACCGAAAGGCCAUACGCUAACAGAUGAACCUGCGUUAGAUUAGCUAGUUGGUAGGGUAAAGGCCUACCAAGGCGACGAUCUAUAGCUGGUCUGAGAGGAUGACCAGCCACACUGGAACUGUGAUACGGACCAGACUCCUACGGGAGGAAGCAGUGGGGAAGAUUGGACAAUGGGGGCAACACUGAUCCAGCGAUGCCGCGUGUGUGAAGAAGGCCUGAGGGUUGUAAAGCACUUUAGUUGGGGAGGAAAGCCUGAGGAUGAAUAAGCCUUAGGGGAGACGUUACCCAAAGAAUAAGCACCGGCUAACUCUGUGCCAGCAGCCGCCGUAA